UAGGGAAUCUUCCGCAAUGGGCGAAAGCUUGACGGAGCAACGCCGCGUGAGUGAUGAAGGUCUUCGGAUCGUAAAACUCUGUUAUUAGGGAAGAACAAAUGUGUAAGUAACUAUGCACGUCUUGACGGUACCUAAUCAGAAAGCCACGGCUAACUACGUGCCAGCAGCCGCGGUAAUACGUAGGUGGCAAGCGUUAUCCGGAAUUAUUGGGCGUAAAGCGCGCGUAGGCGGUUUUUUAAGUCUGAUGUGAAAGCCCACGGCUCAACCGUGGAGGGUCAUUGGAAACUGGAAAACUUGAGUGCAGAAGAGGAAAGUGGAAUUCCAUGUGUAGCAGUGAAAUGCGCAGAGAUAUGGAGGAACACAAGUGGCGAAGGCGACUUUCUGGUCUGUAACUGACGCUGAUGUGCGAAAGCGUGGGGAUCAAACAGG
rnacentral:rRNA from 1 species